rnacentral:tRNA from 1 species
AUUUAUAUAGUAUAAAAGUAUACAUGACUUCCAAUCAUGAGGUCUAUUAUUAAUAGUAUAAAUA